rnacentral:rRNA from 1 species
UACGGAGGGAGCUAGCGUUGUUCGGAUAUACUGGGCGUAAAGCGCACGUAGGCGGCGCAGCAAGUCAGGGGUGAAAUCCCGGAGCUCAACUCCGGAACUGCCUUUGAAACUGCAGUGCUAGAAUCCUGGAGAGGCGAGUGGAAUUCCGAGUGUAGAGGUGAAAUUCGUAGAUAUUCGGAAGAACACCAGUGGCGAAGGCGACUCGCUGGACAGGUAUUGACGCUGAGGUGCGAAAGCCAGGGGAGCGAACGGG